UGGGGAAUAUUGGGCAAUGGGCGAAAGCCUGACCCAGCAACGCCGCGUGAAGGAAGAAGGCCCUCGGGUUGUAAACUUCUUUUAUUCGGGACGAAGAAUGUGACGGUACCGAAUGAAUAAGCCACGGCUAACUACGUGCCAGCAGCCGCGGUAAUACGUAGGUGGCAAGCGUUAUCCGGAUUUACUGGGUGUAAAGGGCGCGUAGGCGGGGCAGCAAGUCAGAUGUGAAAAUUAUGGGCUCAACCCAUAACCUGCAUUUGAAACUGUUGUUCUUGAGUGGUGGAGAGGCAGGCGGAAUUCCGUGUGUAGCGGUGAAAUGCGUAGAUAUACGGAGGAACACCAGUGGCGAAGGCGGCCUGCUGGACAUUAACUGACGCUGAUGCGCGAAAGCGUGGGG
rnacentral:rRNA from 1 species